rnacentral:rRNA from 1 species
GACCCUGGCUCAGGAUGAACGCUGGCGGCGUGCCUAACACAUGCAAGUCGAGCGAGAAACUUUUAAAUGAAACUUCGGUAGAUUUUAAAAGCGGAAAGCGGCGGACGGGUGAGUAACGCGUAGGCAACCUGCCCUUUGCAGAGGGAUAGCAUCUGGAAACGGAUAUUAAUACCUCAUAAUACUAAACUAUCACAUGAUAGAGUAGUCAAAGAUUUAUCGGCAAGGAUGGGCCUGCGUCUGAUUAG